UGUAUUUGUGUACAAAAUGACAUUUAAACAUUUUCCUAUUAUGUCACCUUAGGCCGGUGACACACUGGAUGCGUGGCGCAAGCGUCUCAGCCGCGUGGCGUGUCGGUUUUUAAUUCGGCUCCCAUGUUAACAGGUUAGAGCUUACAGACUGCCUGCGUGAGUCGCGCGUCUCAGGCGCGGUUCGAGCCGCGCGGCAAACGCUUGCUUGCUAGAAAUAGAACCGACGCCUAUUUUUAUCGCGACACGCGCGCGUGUUGGAAGCUUUUCAAGUCUAAAUAUAAUAGGAAAAUGUGUUUAAAUGUCAUUUUGUACACAAAUACAUAUGAAUUCCUGAUAUUUUGAUAUUUGAAAGUCUAUAGGUUGACAUAAAUUCAGAUAUAAAUGUAAUAAAAAAAAUAAUAAUAAUAAUUAUCGAUUUUCAAAUAUUGCACCUGUCAAACAUAAUCUAUUUCGCCGUCAAAACGGUGUCCUUUAUCAGUAGGCGUAGGUGUAGGUGUGUAGAAAAAAGUAUAUAUUGUUGUCAUGAAGACAUGAGCCUGGUCUGUCAACGGUCUCCCUCUACAGCAGCAGCGCGCCAGCGCCGCGUCAGGCACGCUUCUGGUGUGUAAAGACACAGAAUCCGCCACGCUUCUGGGACGCUUCUGGGACGCUUCAGACACGCGGCGCUCACGCCACGCAGCCAGUGUGUCACCGGCCUUACCCCAUUAUGCUUUGCGCGUACGCGUAUGUAGGAUGCUUCGAACUUCCGGUUCGCAACUAGAUGCGUUUAAUUAGCCGUUACAGAGUUUUUGGAAUGCUCUGAAACCUCAGUUGUAAUCGGUUUUACUUACUUUUAACGUCCAUAAUGCAGACAUCCCAAGUCUCCCGGAAGUUCCGGGAGUCUCCCGCAUAUUGAAAGCGGCUCCCUGAGACCCGCAAAUUAGUUAAAAUAUCCCGGAAUCUAGACCGAGCGAGCAAAAGCGCGCAUGCGAAACAGAUACUGUUUCAAACCGUGUAGCGCGCGCACGGCAGAGAGGGAGAGGGAGCGAGAGACCUUGCGUGUGUGUGCUAAUGUGCUUGUAUGAAGCCCAUUUAAGACAGAGAGCAUCCCGAUUGGCCUUUUUCUGCAAAUCAACCAAUCAAUUGUCAGUGUGGGCGGGCUUUUAUCUCUUCUCCCGAACAAAAUUAAUCAGUCAUGUCUAUCUAGAAACAGGAGCACCAUGGCAGAAGGAGAGUGUCACAAAAAAAAAAAAAAAGUACACGAAAGUGUACCCCUGUCUUAUAGGUGAAAAACAUAAUGACAACGAAUAAUUACAUAGGCCUAUAGCUUAUAGAAAUAAUAAUUUAUGCUAUAUCUUUUAGGGACCACAACAUGUUAGGGAGGCUAAGCGCAGGGAAGGCUGCUCCAAUAUAUCUCAGUUCUCCCAUUCAGAUAGGCAAAGUCUCAUUGAGAAGGUGACUACAGGGUCUUCGGGAUACCUCCCUGAAAUGACUUUUUGCAGGUUGGGAUGUCUGCAUAAUGUCAACAAGCAACGGCAACAUUAGUUCGCAGCAGUGCCGGCUACAGACAAUUUUGAUUGGGGGGGCAAUGGGUGGUCCUGGUCAUUUAAAGGGGGGUCUCAUGAACACCUACAAAAAAUACAGUUGACACAGCUAAUAACUAUAUAAAAAUACAGUUGACACGGCUUAAUAUUACUGCUACUAAACAAAAACAACACAGCAUAUCAACUACUUUGUUUUUAAUUAAUCAAUUGCAGUUUGCAAACAAUAUGCUCAAACUUUAAAGGGUUGGUUCACCCAAAAAUGUAAAUUAUUUAAUUAAUAACUUACUCUCAUGUCGUUCCAAACCCUUGAGACCUCCUUUUAUCUUCGGAACACAGUUUAAGAUAUUUUAGAUUUAGUCCCAGUUCUAAGUCUCCCUCCAUUGAAACUGUGUGUACGGUCUACUGUCCAUAUCCAGAAAGGUAAGAAAAACAUCAUCAAAGUAGUCCCUUUAAAUGGUUUGCGUCUCCAAUACGCAUUAAUCCACAAAUGACUUAAGUGGUUAACUUUUUUAACGUGGCUGACACUCCCUCUGAACUGGGCCGUGCAGAGACCUUUGGAGGGGCAGGUGCUCAAAGUAUAAAAGGGGCACAUGGAACAAGGCUUUAAAUGGUGCUGUUCAAAAUAUCAAUACAGCAAUAUACUGUGAUGCAUUCAUUGUCGAUUCACGUGUCGAUAUGGAUGAUUAUGUAUUGAAACGGCAGCAAAUGCUUUGAUGCAGUUUUGAAAAAGAAACAAUAGAGAAGACAAUUUUAAGUUUAAUAUAAUAAUAGCUCUGGGAUUAGAAACUGAAAUUGUCCCAACCUGAUGGCUUUUUCUUCUCUGUUCUACAGAAUAAUUUAGAAUAGCGGUUAUAGUAAAAACUAUAGAAAACACCUGUGCCUCUACAUUUUCCUCUUUCUCACCAGCCUCUGUCUCCUGGCUUGCUGUUCCCUGCUCUCUUUCUGUCACUUGUGCCUCUACAUUUCCCUCUUUUUCUUCCUCUAUCUCCAUUUCCUCAUUUGAUCUAUUACUUUCCACUCUCUGUCCAUCUAGGAACAAGGGUCAAUUUACUAUUUCAGCAUUAAUCUAUUAUUUUAACCAUCACUACUACUCUCGCACCUAAUCAGUAAGUCCACCUAAAUAUUGAUACAAAACAUUAAAAAACUGAUACACUGGAAUAUAGGGAUUAAUAUUAUUACUGUUGUAGUUGUUGUUGUCUAAAAUUGAACACCUUUGCAAUGUAAACAAAUGACAGUCUACAUUUGUUAUUCAUCUCCUUCACACUGCACUUUGAUGUCAGGUAUAUUAUGCAUUUUUUAUUGACAUUGAUAAUUUUACAUUUAUUUCCAGAGAGAUAUUAUUGAGUUUACAGGCUACAGUGGUCUUGCUGUAAAUACUGUUGCUAUUGUAGAAAAAAAUAUUUGCGUCACAUUUAAAAUAUAAUUAUAUUUUAAUUCAUUUCUGAAUUGUUUUUAUUUUUAUAAUGAUAAUUCAGAGAAUGAGAAAAUCUGAAUAAGCCUAACCAGUGUUGUGAUAAUUAUUUUUAAGGCAAAAUAAAUAAGUACUGUAAUAUAAUAAAAGUUUAGUCAAAUAACAUAAAAAAGACCAGACCCUUCGAUGCCUGUGAAACUUUUCUCCCUCAAACAGCACGCUACUUCUACACUACAGGCUACACACAGCAAUAUAAACAACAUAUCUGCAUGUUCUCACAUCACAUCGUUCUUGUAAAAUAAUAAUAAGUAAAUAAACAUCAAAAUCACUUCGCUGAGAAUGAAACACCACUUACCAGCAGCCACGGUAUUGAAAAUAUCCUCUGGCAAUUAAAAAAUGCGCGUGCGGUGUGAGGAAUCGUCCCGGUCGGAUGAGGUCGUCGUCGUUGUCGUCAGGUGAAAGGUCAUCAUGUUGGUCAUUUUAUUUACGACUAAAUUAUUAUUAAUACAUUUUACUAAUAUUAUGAUUGGGCGUGGGCAGGCAUUCACAAAAGGGAACGUUAUUACAAAAAAAAAAAAAAUUCGAGAAAAUUUAGCUUUGACAAAAGGGCACUUAAGGGGCAAAGGAGCAGGUGCUCAAGUGAACCGGUUGUUUCCGACAAUUCAAUCAAAUAAACCGGUUAAAAAAAAUUAAAUACGGUUCACCGCUUCUUUUGCGGUCGAUGUAAUGUCAUUGGCGAUGACUGCCCUUCAUACAAGCCUUCAGUUUACCCGCGCUUAUAACAUUAGAACAGAAUACGUCCAGAAUCAAUCAUCAAAAGAAUCAGUUUGUGGAAGUGUGAACUGACUAUAAUGGCCCAUGUGUGGCCCUUGUCUGGAAUCUAGACCUGAUCCACACUAGGACCAUCAAUCAUUGCUGUAUGUGGGUCAAGUUGUGUGGGCCGGAGCUGGGCCAGAGAAAAAUUGGAUCAGGCUGAGGUGUGACUCAGUUUAUGGCUUUCUGGUUAAAGACCGGUGUUGAUAUGGUUUACUUAAGGUUAUGUUUUGGUUCCAGUAUUACAUUUUGAUCUGGCCCAAUUCAGGGCAAGUUACGGGUAAUUAACUUGGCUGAGACUUGGGCCAGCCUGGUCCACACUAGGACCAUCAUUCAUUGCGGUAUGUGGGCCAAGCAAAAGCUGGUUGUGUGGGCUGGAACUGGGCCAGAGAAAUUUCCCUAUGUAUGCAGAAGCCAAACUUCAAUUCAUUCUCCUCAUCAAAUGUAAACCAUCAUCAUGGUGACCAUAGUGGUUUUCGGGAAAACUCCAUCUACAUAUGGUGCGAAGAAUUACAGUCAUGAUUGCACGAUACCAUUCACAGGAGAGUCAGUAGUCACCUUACCCGACUAAUAACCUUCACCCAGUUUAUGGAUUGCAAACCUUUCCGAUUGGACCUACUCUGGGACAACAAUAUGCCCCCAGCAUCCACAUAAGAUCUGCGGGUCGGUUAGGACCAACACAGACCACAGGGUGAGCACCCCCUGCAAGCCUCACUAUCACCUCUUCCAGCAGAAACCUAGUUUUCCAGGAGGUCUCCCAUCCAGGUACAGACCAAGCUCAAUCCUGCUUAGCUUCAGUGGGCAACCGGUCUUGGACUGCAGGGUGAUAUGGCUGCAUACGCACACAUAGAACCUUUACAUCACACAUAAGCUUAUUUAUUGCAGAGGAAGGUGUUCUCUAAAUAUUCACUUCUGUGGCAUUGCUAAGAAAAAACACUUUUGUAACCUUUAUUUUUAAGAAUGUAUUAACUUACAUCGCUCCAAAUUCAGAUUAGCUAAUUCCAUUUCAUAAAAACUAAUAUAAUAUAAAACAUUUUUUUAAAUUUUUUUGUGUUUUAUAUUUAGAGCCAAUCACAAACAAACCCUGAUUGUAUUGGGUAAUGUUUAAAUGUACAUAUUUAACAAAUUUCAACAGCUGUUUUUCUUCUUCUUCUCUUCCUCUUUCGCUUUCGUUUUU